GGGGGCAGGAGGUUCGACUCGAGCGAAGCGAGAGAACGUUGCGUCAGCAACGGCCCGCAGGGCGAGCCACGAAGUGGCGAGUCAUUCUCUAUCACCGACCA
rnacentral:sRNA from 1 species